rnacentral:rRNA from 1 species
CGGCGUGCUUAACACAUGCAAGUCGAACGAUGAAGCCCAGCUUGCUGGGUGGAUUAGUGGCGAACGGGUGAGUAACACGUGAGCAACCUGCCCCUGACUCUGGGAUAAGCGCUGGAAACGGCGUCUAAUACUGGAUAUGUCCCGUCACCGCAUGGUGUGCGGGUGGAAAGAUUUUUCGGUUGGGGAUGGGCUCGCGGCCUAUCAGCUUGUUGGUGAGGUAAUGGCUCACCAAGGCGUCGACGGGUAGCCGGCCUGAGAGGGUGACCGGCCACACUGGGACUGAGACACGGCCCAGACUCCUACGGGAGGCAGCAGUGGGGAAUAUUGCACAAUGGGCGGAAGCCUGAUGCAGCAACGCCGCGUGAGGGAUGACGGCCUUCGGGUUGUAAACCUCUUUUAGCAGGGAAGAAGCGAGAGUGACGGUACCUGCAGAAAAAGCACCGGCUAACUACGUGCCAGCAGCCGCGGUAAUACGUAGGGUGCAAGCGUUAUCCGGAAUUAUUGGGCGUAAAGAGCUCGUAGGCGGUCUGUCGCGUCUGCUGUGAAAUCCCGAGGCUCAACCUCGGGCUUGCAGUGGGUACGGGCAGACUAGAGUGCGGUAGGGGAGAUUGGAAUUCCUGGUGUAGCGGUGGAAUGCGCAGAUAUCAGGAGGAACACCGAUGGCGAAGGCAGAUCUCUGGGCCGUAACUGACGCUGAGGAGCGAAAGGGUGGGGAGCAAACAGGCUUAGAUACCCUGGUAGUCCACCCCGUAAACGUUGGGAACUAGUUGUGGGGUCCUUUC